AUCCUCACAUGGUUUUUAGGCCUGGAAAAGACGGAACAACAAAAAGUCAUCAGAACAACCUUGUGACAGCCCUGCCUGAAAAUGAAAGACAGCGUUGUGUCAGGCUCCGGUUCUCAAAGUACAAUACAGUGACAACGUUAGCGCGUCUAACCUUCGUCAAAUAUACUAUCUUAAUACAUAAUGAAAACACAGAAUAAAAGAACAGUGUAGCCUUACCUUAAAGACCCGGCUCGAUGCUCACUUGUCACAAAAGCUAAGUAAAGGAACAGGUCUGUAAUUUUUACAUGUUACAAUGCACAAACCAACAUUAAAAAUUUGCGCCCAGUGGCUAUGGGCGCGUCCAUUCACAGAGUGGGUGCAGCAAAUAGCUAUAGCUGCAUUUGGAGCUCGGCCCUACUGAUUGGAUGUUGGCGUGUAACGUUAGCACAACUCUGCUAGCAAGAAGCCUUUCGAGCUGAAGACAAACCAGGCGUGUGUCCUCUAAUUAGCUCCAUGUGUGGUUAGCCUUCAGGUGCGCUAUUGUUUGGCUUCAGCAUCUUCAUUUUAACAACGAGGUUAAUUAUUAAAACUUCCUUCUAGGAAGUUUUGCCAUGACGGUGACAGACCUGCUGAGUACAUCAACUCCAGAACUUAGGAGGUGCACAGUGAAGAAGAUAACCCAAAAUGUCGUGGGCUUGCACUACAAACCUCCAGACAUUUCAGAUGAUUGCCACUCAACAAAAGGCUGAAGCCUGGAAGCACCUUGGCAGCAGGUUUAUUAUUUUGUCCAAUAUGAGAACUGGUGCAUUGAUGCUGUAGCCGUUUCACUGAUGCUCUUUACUGACAGCAGAUGGCAGAGGAAGCCUGUAUCAGAAGCUGAUCAGCAUGACACUGGCAUGGGAAACAAGCAAGAGUCAGUUCAGUGCAGAUGUUAGUGGUGGAGUCAUUAGGAAACAGUUUUUACCUUUACUUCAUUAAUGUUAUUUUCUGUAACCAUUGCUUUUGUGUAACUUUUUACAAUGUAAGUAAUGGUGAAGUCUUUCAAAACUGAAUUCAAGGCAAACGUUUUUGCAAGGCUGAAAAUGUACCAAGAAUACAAAUCAUGACUUGCUGUAAGCAGUCUCCCUUUGAUUCAUGGUCAGAUUUUAGUUUAUUUUUUUAAACCAAAGUGACUUCUGGAGAUCAAGAUAAAAGUAUUUAAGAGCUCCUUACAAAUGGUCUGCAGAGACACACAUUUGUUAAGUGGUGGAUGGUGUGAGCAGUGAUCGCUAGUUCACAAAUGCUUUAUCUGGUGAAAAUGGCUUGGAUGCCAUCUGUCUUUUUCUUAACAGUAUUUCCUCAUGUUUUACAGUGGUCAAGAAAGGCAAUGAAAGAUUGCAAAAUCAUUCCAAUUAAAUCCAUUUUAUCUUGUUCUAUGUUGUGGUUUAGUCACUGGAGACCUGAAUAUAAAAACUGUUAAAGCUAUUAUAGUCAUGUAUUUUACAACAUUUAAUGUAAAAGAAAUACAUUUAGCACAAUUUUAAAUGACAUAUACAUUGAAGAUA